AUAACAUAUUAAUGUGCCUUCAUGUGACAAAAAAUAUCAGGUAACCAGUCAUGUAUCUGUUAGAGAAAAUCUUAUUCUGAGAUAAUAAAAUACCCACCAGAAAAAGGCUAACAUUUUCUGAAAGUGUAUAGCUAGUUGUGCUUAAAAAGUCUAUUCUUUUCUAUUUUUAUCAUUUACUGCACAAAGGAUCUGAGAUAAAAAUCAAUCUUUAUAAAAUUUUUAGUGACAUGUGGAGGAGGGACUCUACAGGUGCCAAAUUAGCAGUUAAAAUAACUUAAUUCUUAUGAAAAUAAACAGAGUACACAUGCAUUUUUCUCCUUCUACUGUGUCUGACUGGGAUGCAGUCAACUUUCCCUACAGCAGUCCAAAUGCUUUACACUUCUGAAAAAGGCAAGCAGGCUGAGGGGUGGGAAAGAGAUGGUAGGGGGAAAUAGCCAGCUCAGCUGACCUAAACUGAUCAAACAGAUAUUUCAUACUGUAUGACAUGAUGUUCAACAACAUAAGCUAGGGGGAAGGGAGAUGGGGAAGAAAAAAAACAAAACAUAACAGCUGUUGCAUAGUUCACAUGCAUAUUUUUCCUUACACACACACACAUNNNNNNNNNNNNNNNNNNNNNNNNNAUAAAAGACAGUGUAGAAACAGAUGAGACAAGCUUGAAGAACUGGUCCUUUGAAUUUCUACUAUUUAGUUGUUCUUUCAUCUUUCCUAAGGAUGUUCAUGGGUUCUAUGUGCAUCAUCAUAACCUGUUAUAUUUCUUCAUCCAAAAUAUAUACAAUUGAGAGAGAAAAAGCAUCACUUCCUGCAACAAACUCUAUUACUAAAGGACAAAAUAUAAAUAUAUCUUGAAAACCUAUUUAGAAGUAAGUCAUUGGAAGGGAUUCAAAGCUGAAAAACUAAAAUGGUAAGUGGCUGAUUUUUUUUUUUUUUACUUUCUAGAUUAAUAAUUGGAAGAUGCAAGAUGAUUCAGAGAAUGGAAUUUGUAAAAUUAUAAUAGUCAAAACAUGCUAUGAAAUAUGUUUAUUUUGCAGAUCACUGGUCAGCACAUAAAUUGUUGACUACAGACCAUGUUCAGAUGCAAGAUCUCUAAGCUGAAGAGGAAGUGAAGCUGCACAUCAAAUUAACAUUACAGAGCUGUGAAAUACAAACAGUGUUUCCUGUGCAGUUUUAGGAUUUUUCUAAAUUUAUUUUUUAAAACAAAAAAAGGUUACUAGAAUCUAGGAACAAAACUCAGAGAAUAGAAACUACAUUUCUGUAAAAGAAAAGGGAUCAUAAACCAUUACUGUCUGUUAAAUAUAUGCAAAGGACUGAGAGAAACUAAUCAAUCAUUCACUUUUGGUAGUUGAUAUGGUGAUGUUCCAGAAAAAGAGAAAGCAAGCUUUAGAUAAGGAGAUGACCAUAAGGUUAUAAGCUUUUCUUUUUUUUUUUCUCUCUUUUUUUUCUCUUUUUCUCUUUUUCUCUUUUUUUUUUCUCUUUUCUCUUUUUCUCUUUCUCACAGACUCUUUCUGUGUAUGGUUAAUGAGUAAAAGACGGUUUGAAUCCUGAGCAUAUCUUCAGCGUUAGUGAAAAAGAAAAAGCAAGUUACAGUAAGUUAUAAAAAUUAGAAACUUAACAUCCAAUUAAUACUUCAGAAAUGUUACAAAUGCACCAGCAAGAAAUACGCUUAUGUGCAGAAAAAGAUUCAGCUUUGCUUUGGGGCCUUAUUUCUUUUCUCAGAGAAUAAGCAAUCCAAAUGGAAUGAUUAUUUUCUUGACUUUCUUGACAUUUUUAGUGCAUUCAAAUAAAUUUCACAGUUAACAAAUUAAAACCUUCUGU
ensembl:lncRNA